rnacentral:rRNA from 2 species
UACGAAGGGGGCUAGCGUUGUUCGGAAUCACUGGGCGUAAAGCGCGCGUAGGCGGAUCAUUAAGUCAGGGGUGAAAUCCCGAGGCUCAACCUCGGAACUGCCUUUGAUACUGAUGAUCUUGAGUCCGAGAGAGGUGAGUGGAACUCCGAGUGUAGAGGUGAAAUUCGUAGAUAUUCGGAAGAACACCAGUGGCGAAGGCGGCUCACUGGCUCGGUACUGACGCUGAUGUGCGAAAGCGUGGGGAGCAAACAGG